GACGAACGCUGGCGGCGUGCCUAAUACAUGCAAGUAGAACGCUGAAGGAGGAGCUUGCUUCUCCGGACGAGUUGCGAACGGGUGAGUAACGCGUAGGUAACCUGCCUGGUAGCGGGGGAUAACUAUUGGAAACGAUAGCUAUUACCGCAUAACAGUAGAUAUUGCAUGAUAUCUGCUUGAAAGGUGCAAUUGCAUCACUACCAGAUGGCCCUGCGUUGUAUUAGCUAGUUGGUGGGGUAACGGCUCACCAAGGCGACGAUACAUAGCCGACCUGAGAGGGGGAGAGGCCACACUGGGACUGAGAGACGGCCCAGAGACCUACGGGGGAGGGCGGUAGGGGAACUUUGGCAAUGGGCGGGAGACUGACCGAGAGACACGGCGUGAGUGAGGAAGAUGUUCGGAGCGUGAAGAGCUGUUUUAAGAGGAGAGAGAGUGUGGGAGUGGAAAGUGCACGCUGAGACGGGAACUUACCAAAAAGGGACGGCUAACUACGUG
rnacentral:rRNA from 1 species